GUGGGGAAUAUUGGGCAAUGGGGGAAACCCUGACCCAGCGACGCCGCGUGAGGGAAGACGGCCUUCGGGUUGUAAACCUCUUUUGUACGGGAAGAAGGAAGUGACGGUACUGUACGAAUAAGUCCCGGCUAACUACGUGCCAGCAGCCGCGGUAAUACGUAGGGGACGAGCGUUGUCCGGAAUUACUGGGCGUAAAGGGCGCGCAGGCUGUGCUGCAAGUCAGCUGUGAAAUGUCUGGGCUUAACCCGGGCAUGCGGUUGAGACUGCAGUGCUGGAGUGCUGUAGAGGCAAGUGGAAUUCCCAGUGUAGCGGUGAAAUGCGUAGAUAUUGGGAAGAACACCGGUGGCGAAGGCGACUUGCUGGCCAGUAACUGACGCUGAGGCGCGAAAGCCAGGGGAGCAAACGGGAUUAGAAACCCUGGUAGUCC
rnacentral:rRNA from 1 species